GCUCUCAUGACUAUAGCUCAGUUGGUAGAGCAUGAGACUCUUAAUCUCAGAGCCAUGGAUUCUAGUCCUAUGUUGAGCA